rnacentral:rRNA from 1 species
GAUGAACGCUGGCGGCGUGCCUAAUACAUGCAAGUCGAGCGAACAGACGAGGAGCUUGCUCCUCUGACGUUAGCGGCGGACGGGUGAGUAACACGUGGAUAACCUACCUAUAAGACUGGGAUAACUUCGGGAAACCGGAGCUAAUACCGGAUAAUAUAUUGAACCGCAUGGUUCAAUAGUGAAAGACGGUUUUGCUGUCACUUAUAGAUGGAUCCGCGCCGCAUUAGCUAGUUGGUAAGGUAACGGCUUAUCAGGGCAACGAUGCGUAGCCGACCUGAGAGGGUGAUCGGCCACACUGGAACUGAGACACGGUCCAGACUCCUACGGGAGGCAGCAGUAGGGAAUCUUCCGCAAUGGGCGAAAGCCUGACGGAGCAACGCCGCGUGAGUGAUGAAGGUCUUCGGAUCGUAAAACUCUGUUAUUAGGGAAGAACAAAUGUGUAAGUAACUAUGCACGUCUUGACGGUACCUAAUCAGAAAGCCACGGCUAACUACGUG